UACAGAGGGGGCAAGCGUUGUCCGGAUUUAUUGGGCGUAAAGAGCGUGUAGGCGGCCAGGCAGGUCCGCUGUGAAAACUCGAGGCUCAACCUCGAGAGGUCGGUGGAAACCGUCUGGCUAGAGUCCGGAAGAGGAGAGUGGAAUUCCCGGUGUAGCGGUGAAAUGCGCAGAUAUCGGGAAGAACACCCGUGGCGAAAGCGGCUCACUGGACCACAACUGACGCUGAGGCGCGAAAGCGUGGGGAGCAAACAGG
rnacentral:rRNA from 1 species